rnacentral:rRNA from 1 species
AACGAACGCUGGCGGCAGGCUUAACACAUGCAAGUCGAACGCCCCGCAAGGGGAGUGGCAGACGGGUGAGUAACGCGUGGGAAUCUACCUAGUUCUACGGAACAACUGAGGGAAACUUCAGCUAAUACCGUAUACGCCCUACGGGGGAAAGAUUUAUCGGAAUUAGAUGAGCCCGCGUAAGAUUAGCUAAUUGGUGAGGUAAUGGCUCACCAAGGCGACGAUCAUUGGCUGGUCUGAGAGGAUGAUCAGCCACACUGGGACUGAGACACGGCCCAGACUCCUACGGGAGGCAGCAGUGGGGAAUAUUGGACAAUGGGCGCAAGCCUGAGCCAGCCAUGCCGCGUGAGUGAUGAAGGCCUUAGGGUUGUAAAGCUCUUUCAGUGGGGAAGUUAAUGACGGUACCCACAGAAGAAGCCCCGGCUAACUUCGUGCCAGCCGCCGCCGUAA